GGAGAGGUGGACGAGUUGGCUGAAGGCGUACGCCUGCUAAGCGUAUGAGGGUCAAAAGCUCUCCGAGGGUUCGAAUCCCUCCCUCUCCG
rnacentral:tRNA from 1 species